ACAGCAGCAGCCGCGGGAAUACAGAGGGUGCGAGCGUUAAUCGGAUUUACUGGGCGUAAAGUGUGCGUAGGCGGCUUCUUAAGUCGGAUGUGAAAUCCCUGAGCUUAACUUAGGAAUUGCAUUCGAUACUGGGAAGCUAGAGUAUGGGAGAGGAUGGUAGAAUUCCAGGUGUAGCGGUGAAAUGCGUAGAGAUCUGGAGGAAUACCGAUGGCGAAGGCAGCCAUCUGGCCUAAUACUGACGCUGAGGUACGAAAGCAUGGGGAGCAAACAGGAUUAGAUACCCCAGUAGUCCCUGUCUCUUAUAC
rnacentral:rRNA from 1 species